UCCAAAGUAAACUGUCAUGCAGUGCAGGUUAGGACCCAAAUGCAGUUUUCAUAGGUAAGAAGGAGUAACAAAAAACUAACCUUUUAUUAAGGUCGAGGAGUAAUCGACAACACCGGGCAGCGAAUAGUAGAAAUGAGAAUAAAAAAUAAGAAAACUUCCAAAAAGGAUCACGAGGAGAACACAAGAGCACACAAACAGAUACUGAAACAAUGACUGACAGGCAGGGCAGGACUAUGUAAGCACACACAAGGGACUUUCAGAUAAAACAGAAAGUAAACAAACCACUAAAUAGAUAUGACAAUGGCAUACGAGGAAACACUAGAGGAGGCUGGUCUUAAAUACAUAAAAAGACAAGGAUAUACCUUUAAAUAACUCUUAACACUAACAUUAUCUGGAUUAUAAAAUAACAAGAAGUAAACAGAAAUGACUAAAGAGUCACAAUGAACCCAAGCAGGAAUGCCCAAUAAUAAACUCUGCAAUGACAAUAAAAUCUAACCACAAUCAACUAGAAGUAAAACAGAAAUGAGGAACAGUACAGAGGCAGAGGCACAAAUUAGGACAAUCUUGAAAACAUAAGAUUUCUAAAUAGAAUUAGAAAGAAAACCUAACCUAAACUGAAAGCAAAGACUGAAGUCUCCAUGAUAGAAACAAUCGGUAAGGUGCAUACCAUGCAGGUGUUUUACUCAUCACAUGAGUCAGUGGUGCAUACCUAUCAUUCUCUGAUUAUGCCAACAAAACUGAACUAAAACCUUCUCGUACGCAUGCACGUUAUUAUGAUAACUUCAGCACAUGUGCAGGAGGAGUACAGGACUAAACGGCUCUAACAUGUUCCUCCAAACGGCUGCUGAGUGUAAAGUCAUUGUAGUGCAGCCAUUCCCAAAGACAAGAGUGCUGCGGCCCACUUCAAAACCAGAAAGACCAUCUCUGAUCAGUAAGUCUGGUUUCUGUUGUUGCCUUGAAGCCUGGCGUUUCUGUGUGUGAGACAGUGGAGGAGAUUCUGUUCCUGUUCAUGUGUGAUUGGCACUCUGUAUUCAUUGCCUUUCCUUUCCAAAAACCUUAUAAAUAGUGAUGGGCCAACCGAGCCUUCGUAAAACACUGAAAAAUUGAAACCAUUUGUGCCGCAAUAGUGUCGAGGCUUCGAAACAAUCUGAAACCCAUCUCCACAGUGACACCUGCUGGCCAAUUUGGGAAUUGCCACAUCUUGAUGGUGCAGUUCUGUCAAACGAUGACAGAGACGAGCCCUGCACAUUUCCAAAUAAAGCAACUUAUUAUAUCCGACUGUCAAUAAUUGUGGACAGCACAUGUUGUGGAGAAAUCUCCGUACAAACUCAAACAAUUGAGACUGUAAUGAUCACUUUGCUUCAGGAAAAAAAUUCUCGCUCUGUUAACCUUCAUGUUGCUCAGAAUAAACCAAUAACAUAGUAAAACAUUCUGAGAAAUAACUCUUGGGUUUAUUGCAAUAACCAACUGUUUUUGGGAUCAGUCAGCUUUGUUUUGUUUGUUUUGCUCACACCCCUCAAUGCUUGGAUGUGUUUGGCUGAUGUUUAAGUUUUCUGGGAGUUCAUGUCAUCAGGUUUGUUCUACACACCGUUAAGCAAAGCUAGAAGCUGGCAUUGCAUUGGGCUUUAAUUUUAAUUAAUCUAAAAAUUUAUAUUUAAAUGAAAAAGGAAAAUGUGUUUUCCUUCUUUAUAAAAAAAAAAAUAGCAUUGAUUAUAUUUUGGUGUGCUAAUUGUCAUCAAUUUUAACAGUCCACAUCAUGCAUACACUUUUAAAUCAUUCUCUGCUGAGCGACCUCUGAAAUAUGAAGAAACUUUCCUUAACUUUACACUGCUGUGGAUGCUGUAUCUUACAACAGUGGCAUGAUGUUUACUGUGAGUCUGGGGUUUUGGUUAUAGUGAACCUGCCCCGUGUUGUUUAUGAGAUAUUCUCACCAGAAGCAUCAGUGACAAUAAAAAAAGGAAACACUCAUCUGUCAUGAAAGGGUGUUAAGAAAUAGAUGACCUGUAAUUAAUGAUUACUAAUAAUUUGUUUUCUAGCUUUUAUUUUCUAUAGUACAAAUAUAUUCUUUAUGGAGGUGCAGUAUGUGAAUAACAGGUUGUAGUCAGGAUGACAUCACCUGAUACAUGUUUUUAUAGGCAGCAGACAUGUAUAUUGACAUAUGGGUCUCUUGUGGGGCCUCCUUACUGUGGGGCACGUCCAAAAUGCAUCACCUAGGUGCUGCCCUGGAGACAUCCUGGCCAAAUGCCCAAAGGACCUCAUCCUGUGGCUGUGGAGAAUUACCACAGAGAACAAGUAGUUAUGGAACAAAUGUCCAUUUGCAGUACCGCCUACGGCACCAUAUACAGCAUAUGCAUAAUACAGUACUGGUGUGUAUUGUAAAAUAUUGCUGUACUGGCUAAUUACACCAUAAGGCACAGAAAAACUAAUUGUUGCAUAGUUGACAUCAAUGGGUUCACACCCAUUUUGCAAAAAUGUGAAAGAGCAAGAGAGAUAGAUGUAUAUCCUCCAGCAUGUCCCUCCAUCAUCUCAGCAUUUCUGAAAAGGUGCUCGUUUUACACAGUUAAAUGUAAAAUAAGUAAAUAUUUGCAGAACUACAAUUCAAUUUAUAAGGAAAAUGGAUAAUGCAUUAAAAAUUUGGCCUUUGGGUGACAAGAUAGAACCAUUCAAAUGAAAAAUGUACUGGAACUUUUAUGAUUGAUUGAUUGAUUGAUUGAUCAUACUUUAUUCAUCCCGAGGGAAAUUGGGUUAAGGCUGCCAGCCUGCCAGCGCCGUCUUACCCUUCCGACCAUACACACAUUACACAAACAUCACAUGGGGAAGACAGGUCAGAGGGGUAUAACAUGGAAAAGCACAACAUGAGGAAAGAUAAGGAGAAAAAAAUAACUUCCCCCAGACUGAGCUCCAACAGGGAGAUCAGUUUGAGAACAGAAAAAAAAACACCUCUGCACAUAGCACAUGAAAAAAACUCUUAAUACACCAAAGAAACACAUGACAAGCAACAGGGAUGGGUAAAGGGUGAGAGACAGCCAAUGUAGACAGUACAUCCGGGCCUGCAGCCUAUGCGCUGGUCUCCAUGAUCCACCGUCAGCAUUGGAAGGGAAUAAGCGUCGAAGGCGUUUGGAGGGGGGAGGGGGGAUGAGUGUACAUCUGCAUGUGUAUAUAUGUCUGUGUGCAUGUGUGUGUGUGUGUGUGUGUGUGUGUGUGUGUGUGUGUGUGUGUCCAGAGUUCAGCUGAGACAGUGUCCUUCGCCCUGCCAGGCUAAGUAAACAGUCUUCCAGCCAACCCAGGUGGCUUUGCAUAGAAUGGGAAGAACAGUCUCAACACAGUCGUUAUCAGGGUGUUUUGUUCAGCUCCAGCCUUGAGACCGCAGCUGGCGCCGAAGGGGUCUCCGCAUGAAGUGAUGGUGGUUUUUACUUUAGUGCGAACAGCUCAUAUGAAUUUCAAAGCUGUUCUAACAGUCCGACACUGGUCUCUCAAUCUCCCGUUGGGGAGCCGCGAGCUUCUCCAUGAUGUUAUCAAACUUACGCUCCGUGAUGUUGUCAUUCUUGUGCUCAAAGAGCCGAUUCUGAGAACUCACGACCGCAGUGAGCUUCUCCAAGAUGUAAUCCAAUUUGCGCUCAGAGGUGUUAUUCCGAGCGAGCCCCUCCAGAUGUAAUCCAGUUUGCACUCAGAGGUCUUGUUCUGAGUAUUCACGGCAGCCGUGCGGUUCUCCAAGAUCUUAUCCGUGCUGCACUCAAUGAGCCCAUUUUGAGAAACUCACGCCUCGUCCCAUCGUUUCAAUCCCAGCGGGCAGCCUUGUGGGGGUUUGAACAGCCGGUUCCGCUUCCUUAAUUCUUCGAUAAGCCAGGGCCAAGCCAGCUCCGAUCAGCAAGAACCCUGUUAUCAUGGUUCCGAAAAGGUAGAUAUCUUCAGCAGUCAGGCUCACCCGAGCCCAGACUUCUCGUUGAGAAAGGGGUGUCAAUUGCAUUCAGAGACCAGUUGAUCAAAUCCAUAAUUCCUCUUUUAGGUUUUAGAGAACAGACUGUGAGAGAGUGUUCCAGGGAAAAGUAAUACAAAAAAACACGAGACUAGACAAGGACACAAGAGGCUAAGCAGGGAAGCUAAGGGAGAGGAGAGGAGGAGGAAAAAAAGUGCGACCGCCUUCGCCGAGAGCAAGAGAAGAAGUUUAGUUUUAUAUAUUAGUGAAUAUAUAUUCAUCCAGUAAACUGUAGGACUCUCUGAAAGUCUUUUUGACUUGGUGCCUCCUACCUCUGAGUCCCCAUGCAAGUUUGUCCUACACAUAAGAAGAAAUGCUUUUUAAGGUGAUUGACAGGAGAGGAAAGACAGGCCAACUUUGUUAGCUGUUCGUUAGGAUAUGCUCGAGAGGACAAAAGAUUUUGCACCUCGUUAUUGUUGGACCUCUGUGUGGAAACUGCAAACGGGACGUCAUAAGAUAUAUAUUUUCCACGGGGAGAGGCGAGGAACACAGGCGCAACACAGUCUUUGUCUUUUUCCCGCCGAGUGUGGUGCAUUGUCCUCCUGCGCUUCUGUUCUAUGACUAUUGAGAAGCUGGCCAUGCUAACAGUGGCACAUUUAGCUUCAGCUCUUUGGAAGACAAGACAAAGCAGCAGUGUGGUGCAUUGCUGUCCUCCUGCCCUUGCUGGCCGCGCUGACAUUGUGAUGUAGCCUCAGUUCUUUGAGAGACAAGACAAAACAGCAGGGAAUAAUUUUAUGUCUGCAAGCCGCUGGAUGAUCAGUUUGGAGGGCAAGAUAUUUUAUGAGCCUGAGCAGAUGCACGACUUUGGCAGCACCCUUGCUGUCUUCUUUGCGUCAUACUACGUUUUCAACCUUGAGUAUCAGGAGUCAGCGUCCAUCACACUGGAGAUGAUACAGAGGUUCUUUGUGAGGAUCCAGACAUGGGAACAAAAUGCCCUGCAAAACUUGGUACAAGCCGCAAGACAGGUCGUGUCGUAAAGAGGAAGGUUACAAGCAUCAGCCCUCGGAUCACCACC
ensembl:lncRNA